rnacentral:rRNA from 1 species
CGUAGGGUGCGAGCGUUAAUCGGAAUUACUGGGCGUAAAGUGUGCGCAGGUGGCUGAGCAAGUCGAGUGUGAAAUCCCCGGGCUUAACUUGGGAAUUGCGCUCGAAACUACUUGGCUCGAGUGUGGCAGAGGAAGGUGGAAUUCCAGGUGUAGCGGUGAAAUGCGUAGAGAUCUGGAGGAACACCGAUGGCGAAGGCAGGCUUCUGGGCCAGCACUGACGCUCAUGCACGAAAGCGUGGGGAGCAAACAGGAUUAGAUACCCUGGUAGUCCACGCCCUAAACGAUGAUGACUAGUUGUUGGGGGAGUUAAAUCCCUUAGUAACGCAGCUAACGCGUGAAGUCAUCCGCCUGGGGAGUACGGUCGCAAGAUUA